rnacentral:rRNA from 1 species
GAUGAACGCUGGCGGCGUGCCUAAUACAUGCAAGUCGAGCGAACAGACGAGGAGCUUGCUCCUCUGACGUUAGCGGCGGACGGGUGAGUAACACGUGGAUAACCUACCUAUAAGACUGGGAUAACUUCGGGAAACCGGAGCUAAUACCGGAUAAUAUAUUGAACCGCAUGGUUCAAUAGUGAAAGACGGUUUUGCUGUCACUUAUAGCUGGAUCCGCGGCGCAUUAGCUAGUUGGUAAGGUAACGGCUUACCAAGGCAACGAUGCGUAGCCGACCUGAGAGGGUGAUCGGCCACACUGGAACUGAGACACGGUCCAGACUCCUACGGGAGGCAGCAGUAGGGAAUCUUCCGCAAUGGGCGAAAGCUUGACGGAGCAACGCCGCGUGAGUGAUGAAGGUCUUCGGAUCGUAAAACUCUGUUAUUAGGGAAGAACAAAUGUGUAAGUAACUAUGCACGUCUUGACGGUACCUAAUCAGAAAGCCACGGCUAACUACGUG